rnacentral:rRNA from 1 species
AGAAGAAAGAUAUAAAGAGGAAAUGCUUUGUAUUUGACGGUAUCUUGCUAGAAAGCCACGGCUAACUACGUGCCAGCAGCCGCGGUAAUACGUAGGUGGCAAGCGUUAUCCGGAAUUACUGGGCGUAAAGAGUGAGCAGGCGGUUAGAUAAGUCUAUGGUUAAAUGCAACAGCUCAACUGUUGUUCGCUAUAGAAACUAUUUAACUAGAGUGCGGGAGAGGUAAGUGGAACUCCAUAUGUAGCGGUGGAAUGCUUAGAUAUAUGGAAGAACACCAGAGGCGAAGGCGGCUUACCAGUCCGUAACUGACGCUCAGUCACGAAAGCGUGGGGAGCAAAUAGGAUUAGAUACCCUAGUAGUCCACGCCGUAAACGAUGAGAACCUGAUGCAGGAGAUAUUCUGUGUCGAAGCUAACGCGUUAAGUUCUCCGCCUGGGUACUACGUUCGCAAGAAUAAAACUUAAAGGAAUUGACGGGCGCCCGCACAAGCAGUGGAGCAUGGGGUUUAAUUCGUCGAUACACGAAAAACCUUACCAGGGCUUGACAUCCCGCUAAAAGCCUUAGAAAUAAGGAAAUAGUUAUAGCGGUGACAGGUGGUGCAUGGUUGUCGUCAGCUCGUGCCGUGAGGUGUUAGGUUAAGUCCUCAAACGAGCGCAACCCUUGUCUUUAGUUGCCAUUAUUAAUUUAGGAACUCUAGAGAGACUGCCGGCGCAAGCCGGAGGAAGGCGGGGAUGACGUCAAAUCAUCAUGCCCUUUAUGCCCUGGGCCACACCCGUGCUACAAUGGUCGGUACAAAGAGAAGCAACACUGUGAGGUGAAGCAAAUCCCAUAAAGCCGAUCUCAAUUCGGAUUGAAGUCUGCAACUCGACUUCAUGAAGCUGGAAUUGCUAGUAAUCGCAGAUCAGCAACGCUGCGGUGAAUACGUUCUCGGGCGUUGUACACACUGCCCGUCACACCAUGAGAGCCGGUAAUACUCGAAGUCGUUAGCCUAACCGUAAGGAGGGCGGCGCCUAAGGUAGGACUGGUGAUUGGGGUUAAGUCGUAACAAGGUAUCCCUACGAGAACGUGGGGAUG